AUUGAACGCUGGCGGCAGGCCUAACACAUGCAAGUCGAGCGAGCGGCGGACGGGUGAGUAAUGUAUGGGGACUGCCCGAUAGAGGGGGAUAACUACUGGAAACGGUAGCUAAUACCGCAUACUAUCGGAUAACCCAUAUUGGAUUAGCUAGUAGGUGAGGUAAUGGCUCACCUAGGCGACGAUCCCUAGCUGGUCUGAGAGGAUGAUCAGCCACACGGGAACGGGGACACGGCCCAGACUCCUACGGAGGCAGCAGUGGGGAGUAUGGCACAAUGGGCGAAAGCCUGAUGCAGCCAUGCCGGUUGUAUGAAGAAGGCCCUAGGGUUGUAAAGUACUUUCAGUCGGGAGGCGUUACCGAAAGAAGAAGCACCGGCUAACUCCGUGCCAGCAGCCGCGGUAAUAC
rnacentral:rRNA from 1 species